rnacentral:rRNA from 1 species
AUUGAACGCUGGCGGCAUGCUUUACACAUGCAAGUCGGACGAGCGGCGGACGGGUGAGUAAUGCAUGGGGACGUACCUGAUAGCGGGGGAUAACUGCUGGAAAGGGCAGCUAAUACCGCAUACCAUUAGAUCAGCCGAUAUGGGAUGAGCUGGUAGGUGGGGUACAGGCGCACCACGGCUACGAUCCGUAGCGGGUCUGAGAGGAUGAUCAGCCACACUGGAACUGAGCCACGGCCCAGACUCCUACGGGAGGCAGCAGUGGGGAAUUUUGGACAAUGGGCGCAAGCCUGAUACAGCCAUGCCGCGUGUCUGAAGAAGGCCUUCGGGUUGUAAAGGACUUUCGUCAGGGAAGCGGUACCGAAAGAAUAAGCACCGGCUAACUCCGUGACAGCAGCCGCGGUAAUAC